CAGCAGCCGCGGUAAUACGAAGGGGGCUAGCGUUGCUCGGAAUUACUGGGCGUAAAGCGUGCGCAGGCGGUUCGUUAAGACAGAUGUGAAAUCCCCGGGCUUAACCUGGGAACUGCAUUUGUGACUGGCGAGCUAGAGUAUGGCAGAGGGGGGUAGAAUUCCACGUGUAGCAGUGAAAUGCGUAGAGAUGUGGAGGAAUACCGAUGGCGAAGGCAGCCCCCUGGGCCAAUACUGACGCUCAUGCACGAAAGCGUGGGGAGCAAACAGGAUUAGAUACCCCUGUAGUCCCUGUCUCUUAUAC
rnacentral:rRNA from 1 species